rnacentral:rRNA from 1 species
AUUACUGAGUUGUCAAAAACUCCAAACCCUUUGUGAACCUUACCGUCGUUGCCUCGGCGUGAGCCGCGCGUGCCCCGCAGCUACCCUGCGGCGGGCGACCCGGGGGAAGCCUACCCUGUAGUAGACCUACCCCGCGGCGCCCGCCCUCCAGGGGCGGCUGGGCGGCGCGCGCUAUACGGCCCGCCGGAGGACCGUUCAAACUCUUGCUCCAAGAAAAGCUCCAAAGCUCCAAAGAAAAAGCUCGAAAGCUGCUCGAAACAAAGCUCCAAAGCUCGAAAAAAAAUUUCUGCUACAAAGCUUGCUCGAAAAAAAUGCUCCAAAGCUCGAAAUGAAGCUCCAAAAGCUUGUUUUUCUGAAUUGCUUCAAUUAAAAUCAGUUAAAACUUUCAACAACGGAUCUCUUGGUUCUGGCAUCGAUGAAGAACGCAGCGAAAUGCGAUAAGUAAUGUGAAUUGCAGAAUUCAGUGAAUCAUCGAAUCUUUGAACGCACAUUGCGCCCAUUAGUAUUCUAGUGGGCAUGCCUAUUCGAGCGUCAUUUCGACCAUUAAGCCCUCGUUGCUUAGCGUUGGGAGCCUGCGUCCCCUAGGGGCGCAGUUCCUCAAAGUUAGUGGCGGAGCUAGGGCACACUCUAAGCGUAGUAAGCUAUUCUCGCUUCUGUGGUGUACCUAGCUGCCUGCCGUAAAACCCCUAUACUUCUAGUGGUUG